UAACGCGUGAGAAUCUGGCUCUAGGUCUGGGACAACCACUGGAAACGGUGGCUAAUACCGGAUGUGCCGAGAGGUGAAAGGUUAACUGCCUAGAGAUGAGCUCGCGUCUGAUUAGCUAGUUGGAAGUGUAAAGGACUCCCAAGGCGACGAUCAGUAGCUGGUCUGAGAGGACGAUCAGCCACACUGGGACUGAGACACGGCCCAGACUCCUACGGGAGGCAGCAGUGGGGAAUUUUCCGCAAUGGGCGAAAGCCUGACGGAGCAAUACCGCGUGAGGGAGGAAGGCUCUUGGGUCGUAAACCUCUUUUCUCAGGGAAGAACAAAAUGACGGUACCUGAGGAAUAAGCAUCGGCUAACUCCGUGCCAGCAGCCGCGGUAAUACGGAGGAUGCAAGCGUUAUCCGGAAUGAUUGGGCGUAAAGCGUCCGCAGGUGGCGAUGUAAGUCUGCUGUUAAAGAGUCUAGCUCAACUAGAUAAGAGCGGUGGAAACUACAUAGCUAGAGUACGUUCGGGGCAGAGGGAAUUCCUGGUGUAGCGGUGAAAUGCGUAGAGAUCAGGAAGAACACCGGUGGCGAAGGCGCUCUGCUAGGCCGUAACUGACACUGAGGGACGAAAGCUAGGGGAGCGAAUGGG
rnacentral:rRNA from 1 species